UUGACCACAGAGAGCGCCUCUUUAAAGAAAAUUGCCACUACAAUUUGGUGUCAGAAGUGGGAUGUCUUGGAGGAACUUUUCCGGACCCUGCGGACGGUGACUGAUCAUCCUGGGACUUCGUGUCACAGCCCUGCCCCGCUCGAUUGAGGGUUGAGGGGCCGACCGCAGGGCUCGGAAGGAAAACCCACUGACAUCUGGGAAAAAGAACUCAAGUGGCAUCUUAACUCUCUGGUAAGAGAGAAAUUAACAGAAAAAGAAAAUUGAACAGUUUUGGGCAUUUGAUUAGGCAAUUAAAAGGGUUUUUCACUGUAAUUUGGGCCAUCACCAUGCUGGUAGAUCUGUCUCUGUGGGAUAGCAGCGUGAUUAAUGCAAGUGAGAUCUGACAUCAGGCAAGGAUCGAGACCUUUUUACAAGUGAGAUCUGGCAUUUAGCUAAGAUCAAGACCUUACACAAGUGAGAUCUGGCGCCUGACUAAGAUCAAGACCUUUUUAACACGUUUGGCUAGCUAACUGCGAUUUACUCCCGGAAGGGGGUUGAAAUCAGGGGGCUGUGCGAUUUACUUCCAAAAAGAGGUUGAAAGCAAGGGCUGUGCGAUUUACUUCCGGAAUAAGGUCGAAAUCAGGGGCCAAGCGAUUUACUUCUAAAAGGGGGUUGAAAUUGGGGGCCACAAAAUUAGAGCUGGAAAGCUUAACUUUUCGAUUUUAGGUGAAAAAUCGAAUUCUGUUGGAGACGUCCGACAGAUUAAUAGGUACCGAAAAAGUCCAGGGGAAAGAUUGUUGCCAGCUUGGGGAAGUCUCAAAGCAGAAUAAAAAAAUAUGAUACACCGGUUUUUUGGAAUAUGGGAAAUUUAUACGGAAAAAGAAAAAAAAAAGAAAAAGGCAUGCAAGAGAUAGGAAAACAAUAAAGUAUCACAAGUUUCUAAGGGAAAAGGAAUGUUGAGUGUUACUAGGUUAAACAUAAUAAAAAAAAGGAGAUAAGAAGGCAAAAGGAAAAGCAGGUUGACUUUGCGAAAGGCAUGUGUGUGUCGUGUGGAGACACUGUUGAUUGUUGGCUCAGGGAGGCAGAUAAGAGGCAAAGAGGAAAAUGCUGCAGAGGCAGCUGGCAUGUAGGGAAAAGAAUGAAGGAGAUAAAGUGAAGGAAAAAGCAAAUGAAAAAAUGUGAACGUGUGAAUGAAAGAGUAAUUAGCACUACUAAUCCUUUCUAUACAUCUGUUUCCAUACAUGUACUGCCGUACCAUCACUAUCCCGUGGCUGAGCUGCGAGCCCUGAGAACUGACCCAAACCUUAACUGCUACUAUCCCAGAAGACCUCCGACCGCACCAAUGAAAUUCCCACCUCAAGCGAGUGGAGGACAUCUGUUUGAACUGGAGAAAUGGACAUUUAACGAACAUUCUGCUGUGUGCUCAACAUGCGGAAGACAAGCUGACAGUGAAGCAAGAGCAAGACAAGAAGAAAGCAGAAAGGGAGCUGUGCAUGGCUCUGGUACAAGUGGCCAACCAAAGAUCCAACCAAGACCUGACAACCAAAAAUACCACAAGUUCAAAGGUGACAAAGGUAUCAAGGGGGAGAAAGAUACCAGAAGAUGGAGAAACUGGAAUGUGACGUAUGGCGAUGAAACCUGCAGAGCCUGUGGUGCACGUGACGAGAAACGGAACCAAAUGUCUGCGCUUGCCACCGAGAUGGACUUUUGGUCAAGGAUUGACCUGAAAGGCGCAAACCAACAACGAGGAGCUGAUGUGCGGAGAGGGAAAAGCAGAAAGGAGGGGGGUCUGGGCAAACAGCCAACAGCUACAGUAAAGGGAAGUGAACAUUUUUUUACUAACAUGUUAAAUGCAGACACAUUUUUAUACACACAUAUUCACAUACACUGACAUACUGGCUCUCUGCAAUGAAGGAAAAGCUUGCAUUUCCCACUGUAAUUUUGAUCACAGUAAUGUUGAUCAUUUUUCUGAUGAAAUGGCAUUGUUUUAAUAGUCAAGCAUUUUUUUUAAUAUGCCAAAAUAUUCUAUGUUGAUUGAGAAUACAUUGGUUGAGUUUCUAGCUGAUAGUGGAGCUAGCAUAUCUUGCAUACGACUAUGUGACCUGCAGUGUGAAAUACCUUUAACAAACAAAUUUCACGAGUCUCUGUCUGCAUCUGGUCAUACAGUGGUUGAGCGAUUUAAAGCUCCGCUGACCUGUGAGACAGAGGGGGGUAAAAUUUUAACAUAUGAAUUUGUUUGUUCACCAAAAUGCCCCGUUCCUAUCCUCGGAAGGGACAUUUUGUGUAAACAAAAGUUGUUUUUAACAGCAGAUUCCACUGGUGUGAGAGUGAUUGAAGGAGAGGAAUUUUGUUGUUUACAAAUUGAAUCACAAGCACCGAAGUGGGCUUAUGAAUGGCUGGUUGAAAACAAUGAGUGGGCUAAUUCAAUUUCCAAAUUGGCUAAAGAACGUGUAAAACCUUUUGACAUUGAUAUAAUGUCUCCUGGUGAACUGCAUUGUACGUCACAUGUCGUAACUGAUAGGGAUGCAGAGUUUGAAAAGGCUUGGUUUGAGGCAAAUGUGAAUGAAACUUUGAUUUUAGAGAAAAUGUACUGGAAGGAUAGUCUGUGUGCAGUUUCAGUGUCUCUGUCAGAAAAGCAGCUUUCAUUCUAUCUCAUGUCAGCACAGGCUGUGCCUCACAUAUCAGUUUGCAAGGGUAAACAUCAGUCUUGGGCUGAUUUAGGCCCGUUUGUGAAGCAGUGUGUUGAAGCCGAAGACUGAGCGCUCUCUCGCAGGCCUUUAGGGUGGACAGUGAAACUGAAACAGCUGUUUUAAGAACUGUGACUGUGACUGACAAACUUUGCGUAAAGAACUCUUGCAUGGUUGACUUUAACGCUGCAGACAUACACCCAGCUUUAGCAGAAAUACCAAGUGAAUUAUGGGCUAAAAGCAAGUAUGAUGUUGGUUUAAUCAAAGGUUGUGAUCCAGUGACAAUCACUGCAUAAUCUGAUCACAGACAUUGUCAACAACAAUAUCCUUUGAAAAGGGAAGCCAUUGAGGGCAUUACCCCCGUAUUUGAGGUUUACUGAAACAGGGUGUUAUUGUACCAUGCAACAAUUCUGAGGUUCGCACCCCUAUUUUUUCUGUAAAAAAGAUAAGGGAUAAUGGGAUGCCUACAGAAUGGCGUUUCGUACAGGAUUUACAAGCAGUAAAUGCAGCUGUCAAACAAAGGGCUCCAUUAGUUCCAAAUCCGUACACGAUUUUGUCACAAAUUCCUGAAAAAUCACAAUUCUAUUCAGUGGUUGAUCUGGCUAAUGCAUUUUUCAGUCUGCCAGUGGACAAAGACAGCCAGUUUUGGUUUGGAACCUUUGACCCUGACAGCUGGAACUGCUUUGUUACAGUAUGUUGAUGACCUGUUGAUAUGUGCUUAGAAUGAAGAGAUGUGUGUGAAAGACACUGUGACUCUCCUUAAGCAUUUGGCUAAGGAGGGCCACAAGGUUAGUUUGACAAAAUUGCAGUUUGGUAAACAAAAGGUAACUUUUUUGGGGCACGUCAUUACACCACACAGCAAAUCUCUGUCUGAAAAAA